CGCCCCCUGCCCUGACGCCCUCAGCCCCUUCCCGCCCCACCCCCGCCCUCGGCAGGUCUACCUGUGCAGCCGGCUCCGAGGGUUCUGCCCCAGUACCGGGCCUUCGCACAGCUGUUCCCUCCGCCCGAACGCUCUUCCCUAUUUGCCCAGGCUCCUGCCUGCACUCCCAGCGCCGGAGUCACGGCGUAGCUUUCUCAAGGACGCCCUCCAGCACCCCACGUGACAAUUCCCUCAGGACCAUUAGAGCAGGAGCCACUGAGGGCAGGGUCUGCACGGCGCGAGCCCAGGAGCCACUGGCAGGGGGCCAGCGUGCCCAGGCAAACGUGCUGGAAGCAACGUGCUCAUCCCCGGGCCCGGGGCAGGCCAGCCGGGCACCCUCUGGGGACGUCAGCGGCCCGCGUGCACCUGAACACCCCGACGUCAACAGGCCACGCGCCACGGUCACAACAACCCGGGUGUCCGCCAGGGGACCAACCCGAGACCACAGUGUGUCCCGCCACUGGGGCAGCGGUGCUCAACCGUGACCGGGAGCCCUGCCACCUGGCGCCACACCUUGUGGGCACACCUUGGAGACAUUCUGCCCGAGUUUACUUGUGUGACAGAAGGCAGACACAGGAGGACACGUCCCGUGACCCCACGCACAGGGGGUCCCCAGAGGAGUCCCGUCCACAGAGACAGAGAGAGUAGACGGUGGGAGCCAGGGGUGGGGACUCAGUGUUUCAUGGGACAGAGUCUCGGUCCGGGGAGAUGGAAAGUUCUGGAGACGGGUGGCGGGGGCGGGUGCAGGACAGCAUGAGUGCCUGACGCCGCCGAGCUGUGCGCUUAGAGACGGUUACGAUGGUGAAUUUUAGGCUGUGUGUAUGUUACCACAAUUUAACUUUCUUAAGUAGGCUCCACACCCGAUGUGGGGCUCGAACUCACAACCCUGAGAUGAAGAGUCACGCGCCUUUCCAAUGGAGCUGGCCUGACGCCCCUAAAAAAUUUGUGAUGCGUAAUUGUAAGUUAUUACAGGGGACACUUCUCAGGCCUUCAAUGCUCCAUAACGUGGAAUUCUCCGCUGCUGGAAACCCGCAGGACAGAAGCAAACAGGAGGAGGAAGAAAGGACUGCGAACUCGGCCGUGGGUGGGGUGCUCGUGCUGGGAGUGGGGGACCCCCCUGCUAGGGGGCCUCGGCGGACAACGGCGGCAUGCAAGUGUUUUGGCCUCAGACCCCUGCAUCCUGUGAACUUUUCUGAGGACCCCCAGAGAGAUUCUGUUCUUGUGGGUGAAAGCUGUUCCACGCUAGAAAUUAAAAUGAAGCGUUUGGGGA